GAAAAGAACUUUGAAGAGAGAGUUCAAGAGUACGUGAAACCGUUCAGGGGUAAACCUGAGAAACCCAAAAGAUCGAAUGGGGAGAUUCAUCGACGACGAAGCUGGCUCCCGUUGGCGUGCGAUUCCCCCGUUGGGACCUCGGUUCCAGAACGCGGGGUACACCCCUUCGGCGAAUAACCGGCGACGUAGUCGUGCACUUCUCCCUUGGUAGAACGUCGCGACCCGUUGUGUGUCGGUCUACGGCCUGGGCUAUUUGCCUGUCGCGGUGGCAUUCGUUCGCUCGCGGCAGAGGCUCGGUCGCCCGGCCGGCUGCACGACGGUACUCCGACGGUAUCGGGCCGCAACCAAUCCAUUCUCGAAUGGUAUAUGCGUCCAGGCCCCUCGCAAGCUCGGACAGCACCCCGGAGCGUGUGGACGCAGCGCCCUCCCCGGGUCUGGCCAGCUGUUAGCAGACGGUGUCCUCGGACCGGCCAAGCUUCGAAUUACCGGUCAGCGACGCUAUUGCUUUGGGUACUCUCAGGACCCGUCUUGAAACACGGACCAAGGAGUCUAACAUGUGCGCGAGUCAUUGGGACAUUGAAACCUAAAGGCGAAAUGAAAGUGAAAGUCGUCGUAAGCGUCGACCAAGGGAGGAUGGGCCGCGUGACGUCGCGGCCUCGCACUCCCGGGGCGUCUCGUUCUCGUUGAGAAGAGGCGCACCAGAGNCGUACACGUU
rnacentral:rRNA from 1 species